rnacentral:rRNA from 1 species
GACGAACGCUGGCGGCGGGCUUAACACAUGCAAGUCGAACGGAAAGGCCCUGCUGUUGUGGGGUGCGCGAGUGGCGAACGGGUGAGUAACACGUGGGUAACCUGCCCUUGACUUUGGGAUAACUUCAGGAAACUGGGGCUAAUACCGGAUAGUAGCUCCUGCUGCAUGGUGGGGGUUGGAAAGUUUCGGCGGGUGGGGAUGGACUCGCGGCUUAUCAGCUUGUUGGUGGGGUAGUGGCUUACCAAGGCUUUGACGGGUAGCCGGCCUGAGAGGGUGAACGGCCACCUUGGGACUGAGAUACGGACCAGACUCCUACGGGAGGCAGCAGUGGGGAAUAUUGCACAAUGGGCGGAAGCGUGAUGCAGCAACGCCGCGUGCGGGAUGACGGCCUUCGGGUUGUAAACCGCUUUCGCCUGUGACGAAGCGUGAGUGACGGUAAUGGGUAAAGAAGCACCGGCUAACUACGUG